rnacentral:piRNA from 1 species
UGUGAUGAAGGCCUUUGGUACUGUUGG